rnacentral:lncRNA from 1 species
UUCCCAGAGCUCAUCCUGUCACUGGCUGCUCUGCUGAAAUUAUCAAUAAGAAAUGCCAGUUGGAUCUGUGACAUGUCUGCCUGCAGCUGGAUGGGAGCAACGGACAGCUUGUCCUCCGAAUGUGUUUUCUGUAUGUGUGCAAGCGCGUGUGUUCCAAACGGGCAGUAGCGUGUGGGAAGGAAAAAGCCUGACACUUGUUUUUAUCAAUUUGCUGAUGCUCAGUCCCGGCGGCUGCCUCCUUUGCCCCCAGCUGCUCUGCCAUUUCUCUCUUUUCAAUCCUGCAUGAUCCUGAGCAGAGAUAAAAGCAGAUUUCCGCUUCUGCUCCCAGAUCCAGGAGCAGACCCUGCAGGCAGCUGCUCCUGAUGUCUCACAGCUAUUAGUCUUCAAAAACCCCCCGUGCCUCUGUGCACACGCGUCUCUCCUCCCCAGCCAGCCCCCCUCCCAGCCCAGCGGCGAUGUCUCUGCCUGGCUGGCCCGUGCCCUUGACUUCCAGGCAGUAGAAGAUGGAGUUCUCUAGACAGCAGCACUUCAGCCGCCACUCUGCCUCUGAAGGGAAGGAAGGGAAAGGGGUGCUGGCUACUGUGAAAUAACAAGAGUCCAAGAGCAAGGUGUCCAGAGUCAGAGCUCCUGGGUUUGAACCUUGUUCCACCAGCACAUCCUACCUCUGUGGCCUGGUCCUUCAGCUCCUACUUAAUGGAAGCCUCGCAGAUGCAAGAUGGCUCCAGCAGGCCCAGCAUCACUUCUUCUCAGUGUCCCAAAGCCAGAAGAGAGGCUGUUGUUUUUAAAAGCAGGAAAACUUUCCUAAACUUGGCCAGAAUUGCAUCACAGACCCUUUCCUAAAACAAUUUCCAGCAAAGGGAAUAGACUUACCAUGUCUGGUACAGAUGAAUCAAGGUUUGCCCCUGGGGGCUGGGGAGGGGCUUGUCCCGCUGAAGCAGACUCUUGCCCAGCAGCUGAACGAAGCCUAGGUUCACCAGACGGAGGAAGAGACUGGCCACUAACAGUGCCUGACACACAGAUGUGCUUCCUGUGAUAUCGCUGCUGCCACCGUUCCAAAUGUAAGCAGUUGGCUGUCUGGGAUACUACCUACCUUCUUUUGUGUUCUUAUUAAUAAAAUUAAAGAUUGCUUUCUGGGUAGAGAAAUU